rnacentral:rRNA from 1 species
GCCAGACUCCUACGGGAGGCAGCAGUGGGGAAUAUUGCACAAUGGGGGAAACCCUGAUGCAGCGACGCCGCGUGAGCGAAGAAGUAUUUCGGUAUGUAAAGCUCUAUCAGCAGGGAAGAAAAAAAUGACGGUACCUGAGUAAGAAGCACCGGCUAAAUACGUGCCAGCAGCCGCGGUAAUACGUAUGGUGCAAGCGUUAUCCGGAUUUACUGGGUGUAAAGGGAGCGUAGGCGGCGCGUUAAGUCUGAUGUGAAAACCCGAGGCGCAACCACGGGAGUGCAUUGGAAACUGGCGGGCUGGAGUGCCGGAGAGGGAAGCGGAAUUCCUAGUGUAGCGGUGAAAUGCGUAGAUAUUAGGAGGAACACCAGUGGCGAAGGCGGCGUACUGGACGGCAACUGACGCUGAGGCUCGAAAGCGUGGGGAGCAAACAGGAUUAGAUACCCUUGUAAAA